rnacentral:rRNA from 1 species
AGAGUUUGAUCCUGGCUCAGAACGAACGCUGGCGGCAGGCCUAACACAUGCAAGUCGAGCGCACCCUUCGGGGCGAGCGGCGGACGGGUUAGUAACGCGUGGGAACGUACCCUUGUCUACGGAAUAGCCUUUGGAAACGAAGAGUAAUACCGUAUACGCCCUUCGGGGGAAAGAUUUAUCGGACAAGGAUCGGCCCGCGUUAGAUUAGAUAGUUGGUGGGGUAAUGGCCUACCAAGUCUACGAUCUAUAGCUGGUUUUAGAGGAUGAUCAGCAACACUGGGACUGAGACACGGCCCAGACUCCUACGGGAGGCAGCAGUGGGGAAUCUUAGACAAUGGGCGCAAGCCUGAUCUAGCCAUGCCGCGUGUGUGAUGAAGGCCCUAGGGUCGUAAAGCACUUUCGCCAGGGAUGAUAAUGACAGUACCUGGUAAAGAAACCCCGGCUAACUCCGUGCCAGCAGCCGCGGUAAUACGGAGGGGGUUAGCGUUGUUCGGAAUUACUGGGCGUAAAGCGCACGUAGGCGGAUCAGAAAGUAGGGGGUGAAAUCCCGAGGCUCAACCUCGGAACUGCCUCCUAAACUCCUGGUCUUGAGUUCGAGAGAGGUGAGUGGAAUUCCAAGUGUAGAGGUGAAAUUCGUAGAUAUUUGGAGGAACACCAGUGGCGAAGGCGGCUCACUGGCUCGAUACUGACGCUGAGGUGCGAAAGUGUGGGGAGCAAACAGGAUUAGAUACCCUGGUAGUCCACACCGUAAACGAUGAAUGCCAGUCGUCGGGCAGUAUACUGUUCGGUGACACACCUAACGGAUUAAGCAUUCCGCCUGGGGAGUACGGUCGCAAGAUUAAAACUCAAAGGAAUUGACGG